rnacentral:rRNA from 1 species
CUUAGCAGAGAUGCUUGGUGCCUUCGGGAACUCUGAGACAGGUGCUGCAUGGCUGUCGUCAGCUCGUGUUGUGAAAUGUUGGGUUAAGUCCCGCAACGAGCGCAACCCUUAUCCUUUGUUGCCAGCGGCUCGGCCGGGAACUCAAAGGAGACUGCCGGUGAUAAACCGGAGGAAGGUGGGGAUGACGUCAAGUCAUCAUGGCCCUUACGGCCAGGGCUACACACGUGCUACAAUGGCGCAUACAAAGAGAAGCGACCUCGCGAGAGCAAGCGGACCUCAUAAAGUGCGUCGUAGUCCGGAUUGGAGUCUGCAACUCGACUCCAUGAAGUCGGAAUCGCUAGUAAUCGUAGAUCAGAAUGCUACGGUGAAUACGUUCCCGGGCCUUGUACACACCGCCCGUCACACCAUGGGAGUGGGUUGCAAAAGAAGUAGGUAGCUUAACCUUCGGGAGGGCGCUUACCACUUUGUGAUUCAUGACUGGGGUGAAGUCGUAACAAGGUAGGCGUAGCGAG